UUUAAUGGUUCAAUCUGGACCAAAUGAGCCGUCAGGGUGAUGGGGACAUGGUGGCCACUCCCUCCAGGGCCACAGCUUGGCAUCACCUUGACGCAGGUUUGUUACUGGGCCCAUGGGCUGGACUCCUGCAGGUGGACAGGCAGAGCUGGAGGAUGGACCAAGCACUCCUCACCCCUCCCUGGCUGUGGUUAGCUGUCCUGGCAGUGGCCAAAUCUGUGGGCAACCUGGCAAGUCCAGUGAGGAGAAAUCCAGGCUGGACAUGCACUGACACACAAAGGGCACGGGAAUUCCUGGUGCAGCAGCAGCAGCAGAGAUUGGGUUGUGUCAGGCUGUGGGCACAAAUGCACACCCUGGUGUGAAUGCUGGCCUUGGUGCUGUCAGCACCUGCUCUCCAUGUGCAGGGCUGCUCACCUGUCUGCCAGCACCUGCUCCCCGAGGUACAGGCAGGGCUGGAGGUCACUCUGAGGCACAGGCAGGGCUGGAGGUCACUCUGAGGCACAGGCAGGGCUGGAGGUCACCUGCCUCCUCAGUGCACUCGAAGCUGCUUUGCAUAAUUGCAGUAAUUUGGUUUCCAAGAGCAAAGUCUCCCGGGAAAGUGACAGUGAACUCAGGGCUCCUGCACAGCUCGUGGGAGAUGGGGUUUACUGCGGCAGUGGAUGAAGAACCAGGACCUGCUCUGGGGGGCUGCCAGGAGCAUGAGCAGGUGAGCAGGGUGGGAGCAGCCUCUUGGGACACCCCAGCCCUCCCUGCUGCAGGACAGAUGGGCUGGGGGCAAUGGGAGGGAAACCCAGGGACUCCCCGUGCACUCAGACAUUUCAGUGCAUUUCACACCUCUCUUGUGCCAGAGGCACCUGCCGGCCCCCAGAACCAUUGCUACCCUCAACCAGUGCAUUUUACUGAGAUUUCAUUCUUGCCUGUUGAUCUUGAGCUCAGGAAAUAAAGAGAGCACUCAGUCCCUGACCUGUGGCAGAGCCUGACCGGGGUGGCAGCGCCUCCCCCUCCUCCCCGGAGCAUUUUCGGGAAGCACGAAUGCUGACCCUGCCCAGGGGACUUACAGGAACACAACGAGCACAGGAGCCGGUUCCAGGGUUACAGAGCCAGGGCAGGGAAUGACUCAGCACCCACCCACUCCUCGGCUUUCCCUCAGCUCCCAGCAGGAGCAGCAGAGACAGCACCAAGGGAACUUCCCCUUCCUGCAGUGGGCCAGAGUUGGGGCCUCCAAGGAGCCCCCAGGGCUGGGAAUCCCAGCAGGCCCCUGAACUUUGGCCCCAGGAACAAUGGAACCCACCACGCACAGGCUUUUGAAAACCAGUUUUAUUUAAAUAACUUUAAAUACAUUACAGUAAAACAUUAGAAUUGAAACCAAAGCCAUGUUACUGCACAGGGUGUGAGGCAGUGCCAGCUCCAGGGAUGCUCAUGUUAGUCCAACAUCGAGCCCUUGUCACAAGUUUAACCCAUGGGACAGUUCCUCCAGUGCCUGGUACCUCAGGGCUUGCAGGCACCAGCACCUGAACUGCAGCCAUCCAACCUCCAGGUCACUCUUCUGUCACUCCUUCUGAGCCAGGCCUCCCCACAUCCCACUGCCUCUGGGAGCCAGCACAGACCAGGGGAUGUGUCCCGGAGCCAGGGGCCUCGCACCAGGCAGGACACGAUUCCCCUCUGUCAGGAUGGAAGCGCAGC